GUACCGUGAGGGAAAGGUGAAAAGCACCCCGGAAGGGGAGUGAAAUAGAUCCUGAAACCGUGUGCCUACAAGUAGUUAGAGCCCGUUAAUGGGUGAUAGCGUGCCUUUUGUAGAAUGAACCGGCGAGUUACGAUUACAUGCAAGGUUAAGUUGAAAAGACGGAGCCGCAGCGAAAGCGAGUCUGAAUAGGGCGAUUUUAGUAUGUGGUCGUAGACCCGAAACCAGGUGAUCUACCCAUGUCCAGGGUGAAGUCCAGGUAACACUGGAUGGAGGCCCGAACCCACGCACGUUGAAAAGUGCGGGGAUGAGGUGUGGGUAGCGGAGAAAUUCCAAUCGAACUUGGAGAUAGCUGGUUCUCUCCGAAAUAGCUUUAGGGCUAGCCUCACGUUGUAAGAGUCUUGGAGGUAGAGCACUGUUUGGACUAGGGGCCCUCAUCGGGUUACCGAAUUCAGACAAACUCCGAAUGCCAAAGACUUAUCCGUGGGAGUCAGACUGCGAGUGAUAAGAUCCGUAGUCAAAAGGGAAACAGCCCAGACCACCAGCUAAGGUCCCAAAGUUUACGUUAAGUGGAAAAGGAUGUGGAGUUGCUUAGACAACCAGGAUGUUGGCUUAGAAGCAGCCACCAUUUAAAGAGUGCGUAAUAGCUCACUGGUCGAGUGACUCUGCGCCGAAAAUGUACCGGGGCUAAACGUAACACCGAAGCUGUGGAUUGACAUCUACGAUGUCAGUGGUAGGAGAGCGUUCUAAGGGCGUUGAAGCUAGACCGUAAGGACUGGUGGAGCGCUUAGAAGUGAGAAUGCCGGUAUGAGUAGCGAAAGAUGGGUGAGAAUCCCAUCCACCGUAUGCCUAAGGUUUCCUGAGGAAGGCUCGUCCUCUCAGGGUUAGUCGGGACCUAAGCCGAGGCCGAAAGGCGUAGGCGAUGGACAACAGGUUGAUAUUCCUGUACCACCUCUUUAUCGUUUGAGUGAUGGGGGGACGCAGGAGGAUAGGGUAAGCGCGCUGUUGGAUAUGCGCGUCCAAGCAGUUAGGCUGGUAAGCAGGAAAAUCCGCUUGCCGUGAAGGCUGAGCUGUGAUGGCGAGGGAAAUAUAGUACCGAAGUUCCUGAUUCCACACUGCCAAGAAAAGCCUCUAGCGAGAUAAAAGGUGCCCGUACCGCAAACCGACACAGGUAGGCGAGGAGAGAAUCCUAAGGUGUGCGAGAGAACUCUCGUUAAGGAACUCGGCAAAAUGACCCCGUAACUUCGGGAGAAGGGGUGCUUUUUGAGGUGAAUAGCCUCGAAGAGCCGCAGUGAAUAGGCCCAGGCGACUGUUUAGCAAAAACACAGGUCUCUGCGAAGCCGCAAGGCGAAGUAUAGGGGCUGACGCCUGCCCGGUGCUGGAAGGUUAAGAGGAGGGGUUAGCGCAAGCGAAGCUCUGAAUCGAAGCCCCAGUAAACGGCGGCCGUAACAAUAACGGUCCUAAGGUAGCGAAAUUCCUUGUCGGGUAAGUUCCGACCCGCACGAAAGGCGUAACGAUCUGG
rnacentral:rRNA from 1 species